GUAGGUGAACCUGCGGAAGGAUCAUUAGCACGUAUCCACGUUUCUCACCCGCGAAUUACUUAGGAUGGCUUAAAAAAAGUCGAGCAAUCGAUUUUCUUUUCGCCUCCUAUGUCUUACUUUCCUGUUUCAUUUCGGUGAUUCAGGAUUGUAGUACUUUAGAACUUUGAGUUCCUUUCGGGGAACACAAAGGAUUAAAGUUACUUCAAACCCCUUUUUUCACAAUAAAAGCCGUCUCUUUGUAGACCGCUUUUAACCGAAUGCUGUACAACUCUUAGCAACGGAUAUCUUGGUUCUG
rnacentral:misc_RNA from 1 species